GACAGAGGAGCCAAGCGUUGUCCGGAUUGACUGGGCGUAAAGCGCACGCAGGCGGCUGUGCACGUGGGGUGUGAAAGCUGGCGGCUUAACUGCCAGACGCCACCUCAUACGGCACGGCUCGAGCCCGUGAGAGGUCCACGGAAUUGCCGGUGUAGUGGUGAAAUGCGUAGAGAUCGGCAGGAACACCCGGGGGGGAAACCAGUGGACUGGCACGGUGCUGACGCUCAGGUGCGAAAGCGUGGGGAGCGAACCGG
rnacentral:rRNA from 1 species